rnacentral:sRNA from 1 species
AUCAUCAAGUCACCCACCAAGCGAAGCAAACCCAUCGCAUCAACCACCAAAUCGAAGGCACGUAGGUGAGCACCAACAGCUACAUCGGCCAUGGCUCGCGCGCUCGUUCUCGUCGUGAUCCUCCUCGCCGCUAUCGCAGUGGCACCGUUCGCGGAAGCCUCGACAGUCACCGGUGGCUCCAGGGUAUUGUUGGCCUCCGACGCGCCCGCUGAGAGCCCGGCUGGGCCUGCGGCGGCCCCAGGCCCAGCGGAAGAGUCCAGCAGUGAAUCUGCUCCAUCUCCGAGCGCCGCUGAUGCCUGAUCGAGUAAUAAUGAAGUCCAAGUGAAUAAUUCUUCAUCCCAAGAACAUUGAUCAAGCAUAUAUGUCCUACCCUUCCUUCAUAAAGGCUAACAGAGCCUCAUUUUUAUUUUUAUUUUUAUUUUUUAUUGCUUUCUUCUGUUGAUUGAUCGUGUUAAUCAUGCAAUAUGAUGAGUUAAUAUAAGUUCGAUGAAGAUAUUUGUUUCC